rnacentral:rRNA from 1 species
UACGUAGGUAGCGAGCGUUGUUCGGAGUUAUUGGGCGUAAAGGGCGCGUAGGCGGCCAUGCGUGUCUUUCGUGAAAUCCCUCGGCUUAACUGAGGACGUGCGGAAGAAACUGCAAGGCUUGAGUCCGGGAGAGGGGGGUGGAAUUCCCAGUGUAGCGGUGAAAUGCGUAGAUAUUGGGAGGAACACCGGUGGCGAAGGCGGCCCCCUGGACCGGUUCUGACGCUGAGGCGCGAAAGCGUGGGUAGCAAACGGG